CACGUAGGCGGCUCAGCAAAUCAGUCGUGGAAUCCCGACGCUUACCGUCGGAACGGCGGCUGAAAAUACUGGGCUUGAGGGCGUGAGGGGUCACUGGAACUCCCGGUGAAGCGGUGAAAUGCGUAGAUAUCGGGAGGAACGCCGGAGGCGAAAGCGAGUGACUGGCGCGUUCCUGACGCUGAGGUGCGAAAGUGGGAGGGCGAAC
rnacentral:rRNA from 1 species